rnacentral:rRNA from 1 species
UACGGGGGGGGCAAGCGUUGUUCGGAAUUACUGGGCGUAAAGGGCGCGUAGGCGGCCCUCUAAGUCGAACGUGAAAUCCCCGGGCUCAACCCGGGAACUGCGUCCGAUACUGGAAGGCUUGAAUCCGGGAGAGGGAUGCGGAAUUCCAGGUGUAGCGGUGAAAUGCGUAGAUAUCUGGAGGAACACCGGUGGCGAAGGCGAGUCCCUGGACAACUCCUGACACUGAGGCACGAAAGCUAGGGGAGCAAACGGG